ACUGAACGCUGGCGGCAGGCUUAACACAUGCAAGUCGAGCGGGGGGAGGUAGCUUGCUACCGGACCUAGCGGCGGACGGGUGAGUAAUGCUUAGGAAUCUGCCUAUUAGUGGGGGACAACAUCUCGAAAGGGAUGCUAAUACCGCAUACGUCCUACGGGAGAAAGCAGGGGAUCUUCGGACCUUGCGCUAAUAGAUGAGCCUAAGUCGGAUUAGCUAGUUGGUGGGGUAAAGGCCUACCAAGGCGACGAUCUGUAGCGGGUCUGAGAGGAUGAGCCGCCACACUGGGACUGAGACACGGCCCAGACUCCGACGGGAGGCAGCGGUGGGGAAUAUUGGACAAUGGGGGGAACCCUGAUCCAGCCAUGCCGCGUGUGUGAAGAAGGCCUUAUGGUUGUAAAGCACUUUAAGCGAGGAGGAGGCUACUUUAGUUAAUACCUAGGGAUAGUGGACGUUACUCGCUGAAUAAGCACCGGCUAACUCUGUGCCAGCCGCCGCCGUAA
rnacentral:rRNA from 1 species